CAAAGCCCUGAUUCAUCAUUGGAUUUGUCUACUGGUACAGCCCAUCACUUCUCUUUCCUGUUGAACACAUCAGACUAUCGCAUCCUGCGCAUGGAUGAGGAUCACGACCGCAUGUAUGUGGGCAGCAAAGACUACAUCCUGUCUCUGGACCUCCAUGACAUCAACCGAGAACCCCUCAUAAUACACUGGCCUGUUUCUCCACAGAGGAAGAUGGAGUGUGUUCUGAGUGGCAAAGACACAAACGUGAGUGCCGUCUUUCAAUUUCUUUGCUUCCACUCCGCUCACAUAUGCUUUAAUCUGGAAGGCGAAGAAAAACUCAGAAUAACCGCCAUGCAUCUCCAGAUGCCCCAGACCAGAGGAAGAUCUAGUCGUGCAGCUGAACCUGAAACAGAAUAUGUCUUCCAUCUGGAGCCCGGCAAGGAGGAUUCUGGGAAGGGAAAGUGCCCAUAUGAUCCAAAACUGAACAGUGUCUCCACUUUGAUUAAUGGAGAACUGUAUGCAGGGGUGUAUAUUGAUUUCAUGGGAACAGACUCUGCUAUUUUCCGAACUUUGGGGAAAAAUGCAGUCAUGCGCACUGACCAAUACAACUCAAGAUGGCUAAAUGACCCCUCAUUUGUCCAUGUGCACCUUAUCCCUGACAGCAACGAAAAAAACGAUGACAAACUCUACUUUUUCUUCCGUGAGAAGUCUUCCGAGAUGGGCCAGAGCCCCAAAUUACAGUCACGCAUCGGUCGAAUCUGCCUGAACGAUGAUGGCGGUCACUGCUGCUUGGUCAACAAGUGGAGCACCUUCCUGAAAGCCCGUCUCAUCUGCUCAGUCCCAGGAGCUGAUGGGAUUGAAACACAUUUCGACGAGCUCAGGGAUGUGUACAUACAGCCUACGCAGGACACUAAAAAUCCCGUCAUCUAUGGGGUCUUCUCUGUGUCUGGCUCUGUAUUCAAAGGCUCAGCGGUCUGCGUCUACUCAAUGGCAGACAUUCGGAUGGUGUUCAAUGGACCUUUUGCUCACAAAGAAGGUCCCAAUUAUCAGUGGGUGGCCUACUCUGGAAAAAUCCCCUACCCUCGUCCAGGAACAUGUCCUGGUGGGACUUUCACCCCUAACAUGAAGUCCACGAAAGACUACCCUGACGAGGUCAUCAACUUCAUGCGGAACCAUCCCACCAUGUACAAUACUGUGUAUCCGGUGCACAAGCGCCCCCUGGUGGUCAGGACCAACGUAGACUAUGAGUUCACCACCAUCACUGUGGACCAGGUGACUGCAGCCGAUGGCAACUACGAAGUGCUCUUCCUGGGUACAGACAGAGGUACAGUACAGAAGGUUAUCGUCCUGCCCAGAGAUGACCUGCAGACAGAGGAACUACUGCUAGAGGAAGUGGAGGUCUUUAAGGUCCCUACUCCCAUCACAACUAUGAAGCUUUCUUCAAAACGGCAACAACUAUAUGUAGCGUCAGCGGUUGGUGUGACUCAUCUGGCCCUGCACAGGUGUGAUGUCUAUGGCGAGGCCUGCGCAGACUGCUGUUUGGCCCGGGACCCUUAUUGUGCAUGGGAUGGCAAGUCCUGUUCUCGGUACUCUGCCUCACAGAAGAGACGCAGUCGGCGACAGGAUGUGAAAUACGGGAAUCCCAUACGGCAGUGCAGAGGAUACAAUUCUAACACUAAUAAGAACACUCUGGAGACGGUGCAGUAUGGGGUGGAGGGCAGCAGCACGUUUUUGGAGUGCCAGGCCAGAUCACCCCACGCUGCCAUUAAAUGGCAUCUCCACCGAGACAACAGCGAUAGAAGGAGAGAGGUCCGUACCGAUGGGCGCGUGUUGAAGACAGAUCAAGGCCUACUACUGCCUUCCCUCCAGUCCUCAGACUCUGGCAUCUACGUUUGCACAACGGCAACUAUUCACCUUAAAACGAUGACUUUUUCCUCAACAGUUAAUGGUAUUGUUACUAUUCCUGCAAAGCGCCACAUGGCCCCGAAAACCAGUGUGAAGCAGCGUCUUACAUUGAGAGAAAAUGGUUGUACAAUUUCUUGGUAUUUUUAA
ensembl:lncRNA